rnacentral:rRNA from 1 species
UACGUAGGGAGCAAGCGUUGUCCGGAUUUACUGGGCGUAAAGCGCGCGUAGGCGGCUUUGUAAGUUAGAGGUGAAAGCCCGGGGCUCAACCCCGGAACUGCCUUUAAGACUGCAUCGCUUGAAUCCAGGAGAGGUGAGUGGAAUUCCGAGUGUAGAGGUGAAAUUCGUAGAUAUUCGGAAGAACACCAGUGGCGAAGGCGGCUCACUGGCCUGGUAUUGACGCUGAGGUGCGAAAGCGUGGGGAGCAAACAGG